UUCACAGUACGUGAACCGUUCAGGGGUAAACGGGAGAGAUCCGAAUAGGCGAAAGGGGGAGACUCAUUCUUGUCCACAGCCGGGCACCGAACGUUCUCUCGGGAUGUCUCCGGCCGCCGGUCGCGUCGCAAGGCGCGCUCCGUGUCGGUCCGGGUGCACCCGGUUAACCGGUGAUGAAUUAGUCCUUGGUGUGGCGAGGUGCACUUCUCCUCCGAGUAGGACGUCGCGACUCGUUGGGCACCGGUCUGCAAGGCCUCUGGGAAAUCGUCCUUAGUCGACCUCCGAAGCCGUUUUUGGCUCGGGUUGAAGGUCGGCGGGAACCCGUUCCGUGCCUGGCCGGAGCCCGACGGUAGAUUUUGGCGGAGAUGGCCCGCUCCUCUGCGAGUGAGCGUCCGGGCCGAGGGCAAGCUCUUCGGGUUAGCUAUCGGUGUGGCCGUGGCGAACGCCACGCCCCCGACCCUCGUCGGCUGUUGGUCCUCGGAUUUCCUCGGACGGUAGCCGUCUCCCGUCAGCGGCGCUUAAAGCUUCGGUCUCUUUCCCGACCCGUCUUGAAACACGGCAA
rnacentral:rRNA from 1 species